AUUCGUUUAGUAUAAGAAAGUACAUUUAAUUUCCAAUUAAAAGGACUAAAUUAAUUAGAAUGAAUA
rnacentral:tRNA from 1 species